rnacentral:rRNA from 1 species
AGAACGAACGCUGGCGGCGCGUCUUAACCAUGCAAGUCGAGCGGCAGGCAGCAAUGCCGAGAGCGGCGGACUGGUGAGUAACACGUGGAUAACGUACCCCGAUGCCCGGGACAGCCUGUAGAAAUAGAGGGUGAUACCGGAUAGAUCACUGUAUACGGAAGGUAGACAGCGGGAAAGGAGCUUCGGCUCCGCGACGGGAUCGGUCUGCGGCCCAUCAGCUAGACGGCGGGGUAAAGGCCCGCCGUGGCGAGGACGGGUAUCCGGCCUGAGAGGGCGGACGGACACAUUGGGACUGAGAUACGGCCCAGACUCCUACGGGAGGCAGCAGGUAAGAAUAUUCCGCAAUGGGGGGAACCCUGACGGAGCGACGCCGCGUGAACGAAGAAGGCCGGAAGGUUGUAAAGUUCUUUUCUGUCCGAGGAAUAAGUGUAGGAGGAAAUGCCUGCAUGGUGACGGUAGGGCAGGAAUAAGCACCGGCUAAUUACGUGCCAGCAGCCGCGGUAACACGUAAGGUGCGAGCGUUGUUCGGAAUUAUUGGGCGUAAAGGGCAUGUAGGCGGAUAGGCAAGCUUGGUGUGAAAUGUUACAGCUUAACUGUGAGACAGCAUUGAGAACUGCAGAUCUUGAAUUACUGAAGGGUAACCAGAAUUCCACGUGUAGGGGUGAAAUCUGUAGAUAUGCGGAAGAACACCGAUGGCGAAGGCAGGAUACCGGCGGACGACUGACGCUGAGGUGCGAAGGUGCGGGGAGCAAACAGGAUUAGAUACCCUGGUAGUCCGCACAGUCAACGAUGUACACUGGGCGUGUGCGCAAGAGCGUGCGUGCCGAAGCAAACGCGAUAAGUGUACCGCCUGGGGAGUAUGCCCGCAAGGGUGAAACUCAAAGGAAUUGACGGGGGCCCGCACAAGCGGUGGAGCAUGUGGUUUA